ensembl:processed_transcript
AAACAGAGGAAGUUUUCGCAUUCUGACUGCAGCCUGAGUUCCCCGGAGCAAGGCUGCUUCUCUCCACCCACUCCUCACCAAGAACUCCUGAACUUGAGAGUGGACGACUUCAAAGCUAGCUCCCACAGACUCACCUGGAAAAGAGUUCAGCUGCGCGUUCAUUGAACCGAGAGGCCAGAUCACCUAUGUGAGGCGGUGGGAACCAUAUGGAGAUUUAUAUUAGAACUUCAGCAAAGUGCACAGCUGCAGCCGGCAGAAGCCAGCUCUCGGGCUGACAGGCAAAUGAACCAGAUCGUGGACGGGGCCUCUGGGUGGCAGCUCCGGCCUUUUGGUUGUUGGACAACUAUAGUCAGAACUGAAAUGGAACAGGGGCAGGAGAAAUAACACACUUUUACUCCACGCAACUGUUGCUUUCACAUGAUCUUCAGGAAUGUAACUGGGAUAAUUGUCCAAAUUGAAUCCCAUACCCUGUCAUGCAUACCAGAAUAGGAGUCCUGUCUUAACUGAGCAAUAUACACUAUGGAGAGAUCCUUCAAAACCCGUCGGGACGAAUAACAGAUGAAUUCAUAAAACUGUUCAUCUCUGUUAUCCUGAAUGGUCACUCAGACAACAUUUUACUCAACUAUAAAGGGGAACACUUAAAGUGCAUAUGAGAAGAGAAGAGAAUGACCACAGGAGAAAAUCAUCUCAGGUAAAACGAAAAGGCACAAAUGUAGAGAGUAAUUAAUCUUAGAAUAUUAAAGAGAAAAUGAUUAUGUCUGUGUUUGGUAUAAGAAAUGGUCCUUCCCUUUAUGAAGCUACGUAUUUGGGAUUUUCACUGAUGGUUUUCCUUCAAGAGUUUACAGUAUUACUUGCCUUUGUCAACCUUUUGUUUGGUUUUGUGAUCAAUGCCCAGUGUCCAUCAUUCUGAGGACAUAUGUGUAUGUUGAUUUAUACAAUUCAGGUACAAGAUGGUUGAAUAGGAAGCUAUUUAAUGAAAAGGAAAAUAUGUUCUCAGUGGUUAUACAUUAUAAAAGGAAGUAAAAAUCUGAUAGAAAAGUAUAAGCUCAUAGUUUAUUUUUAAUCUUUUCCAUAUAUCUAGUAAGACAAUAAUGUCAAAGUAUAUUUUGUAGUAAUAAAAGCUACAGCCAGUGUUUCCUCUUUCUUUUUUUUAAACAUAAAAUGUAUAAAUAUAUAAGGAAAUACUUUUACUACAAUUGGAUGCAUGAUUGUUGAUUAUUUACUACAGUUUUAAUAAGUAGGAGAAUGAUUUGAAAAUAAAUAAUGGUGAAAAUUUGUGUAGGCCAAAUUAUCUGUAUUAAACUGGAGAAAAUACAUUCUAUUUUUAUUUAUUUCAAAACAUGCCAAAUCAUGAAGUAAUUACUAUGCAGUAUUAUUUUUCACAAUGAAGAUAUAAUUAAGAAAAGCUAAAUCAUUUUAGAUAUGAGUGCAAUGAUUAACGAUUGUACAACUUAUAAUUUUGCUUCAGAUGAGCUUAGAAUCCUAAAAAUGUACAUGUAACUGGCUUCAUGUGUGCUUACUGGCUUGCUUUCUUACAGUGUAGUAGCUGACAGAAUUAAGAAUCAUUUAUUUCAUUUCAACCUGUUGAACAGAGGAAUUAUAUGUAGCUGUGUAUUUUGUUGAAAGGAUAUAGUUCUUGGGAAAUAGAUUUAAAUGUGUUUUGUUGAAAGGGAAUGUAUGCUCCUUGGUGUGAUAUAAGCGACUACAAAUAUUCCAGAAUAGCAGGAAUAACACCGAUCAUGUCAUUGAUUUUAGGGUUUUUUGAUACCAUAUCUUUUCCUCACUGCUGUAAAAGUUUAAUUUCAUCCCCACUGUAGGCACAUGUCUGUACAUCUAGAAUUUGUGGGUUUUGUGUUCUUUACCUAGUCAACAAGACCUCAUUUGUUUAUAAAAAGCUAUAAUGUGACUAAAUCUCAAAAAUCAUUAACUGAGUUUUAUGUGAAUAAAUACAGUCACUCUAGUGCAUAUACAGUUUAAUAACUUCCUUUUUAGUUGUAGACUUAUCAUACUAUAUCUGUGCCUCACAACAGUAUAAUUCAUAUGUACAUAUAUUAGGUUCUCAAUUAGGACAUUUUAACAACAACGUUAAAAUAUUCACAGUUUAAAACAAAAGCAAUCUUUAAAAAAGAAAAAAUCAAGAAGAAAAGAGAGAAGUAAGAAAAGAAGAAAGGGAGGG